CCUACGGGUGGCUGCAGUGAGGAAUAUUGGUCAAUGGGCGUAAGCCUGAACCAGCCAAGUCGCGUGAGGGAUGAAGGUCCUAUGGAUCGUAAACCUCUUUUAUAGGGGAGUAAAGGGCGGGACGUGUCCCGUCAUGUAUGUACCGUAUGAAAAAGGAUCGGCUAACUCCGCUCCAGCCGCCGCGGUAAUACGGGGGAUCCGAGCGUUAUCCGGAUUGGUUGGGUUUAAAGGGUGCGUAGGCGGUCUUUUGAGUCAGCGGUGAAAGUCUGUGGCUCAACCAUAGAAUUGCCUUUGAAACUGGGAGACUUGAGUGUGGUAGAGGCAGGUGGAAUGCGUGGGGUAGCGGGGAAAUGCGUAGAUAUCACGCAGAACCCCGAUUGCGAAGGCAGCCUGCCGGGCCAUGACUGACGCUGAUGUACGAAAGCGUGGGGAGCAAACAGGAUUAGAUACCCGAGUAGUC
rnacentral:rRNA from 1 species